GUGUGACUGCUUUACAGGCUUACAGAUCAUGUCAGGUGAAACCAGGCAAUGUUUAACAAGGUGCCAGUUGAAGAAGGUGAGACAGGGCAAAUCAAGAACAUUGUUCUGGCAGUGCAAGAGUGAUAGGAAGCACCAUUUACAUUUCUAGAUGCAGUAUAUGGUAUGGCUGAGAAUUAAGCUGCUGGUACACUUGCUGCCUUUGUCUUACAAUCUUACUGUGGCCAUAAAGAGUGAAUGCCACAGAGACAUGGGCUCAACAUAAGGCAGAGGGGAAUUGCAAUGAAAUGCUAAAAUAUGUGCUGUGGAAGGCUAUGUCCUCUGUGCUUCCCGUUUCCAAGGAGGAAGGUCAAGAUGUUGCCUAAAUGAUAGCAACUCUUUAUUUGAGUUUAUUGCAAACCAAACGGGAACAAUUUGAGAAUAUUUUCGUGUGUUUUCAUGCUGAUGUCUACACAUGUAUACAACGAACAGUACAAACAAUUGUAAGAACAUGGAGACACCACCUGACUUUCUUACCAGUACAGUGGUACAGUUGCAGUGUAUCACUAAAAAACUUUUACUUACCUCUGGAAAAAUGCAAACCAUUAAGUAGGAAAAACUGGGGACAUGGCUUAGAAGGCUAUCCAUAUUUAAAACUAAUGCGAUUGGAAAAAACAUUUUAAACUGUAGUCCCAGGCAUGUAUUUUAGCACUAGUGUUAGCAUGCAUUCCCUUUGCUUAGAGCUGGAGAGCUCUGGGAGAAAUGUGAAGUAGGCAGGAAAAGGAGAACCGUGUGUCAGGGCCAUUGCUGUCAAAUGGCCUCCUCACACACUGCAGAUGUUGCUCAAGCAUGAGCCAGGGAGUGUGUGGAAUAAAAAGCAGCCUGUGGAACUUUAGUAGAGAAUAAAUUCUGCAGAAAGCUUGCAGUGUUCCUCUCUGCCACAAAAGAAUUUCACAAGCAGGAGUGAGGUCUAUACAGGACUCUCUACAUGGGCUGAUCUUAAGGUACUCUUGGUAUAUAAACAUUAGUUUUAAAUCGUACCAAUAUUUUCCUUUAGGAAAUUCCAAGAAGGUCCAGCAUAAUAUGGCCAUAAGCAUGACUUACACUAAGAGAGGAAACAGUCCUGUGCAAUAUAUAUAAUAUCAGUGUUUCACUUUGAAAUAAUUUUUUAUUGACAACAAAGUCAAUUUUGAGAAUAAAAAUUGUAAAAGGGUAAAUUUUCUAGCCAAAAAAACCCCUAAAAAUGGUAACUUUAUCUCAUGAGACCAAAUAAUAUAGAUCUGAGAUCUAUAUAGUCAAAUUAAAAUGUUCCAAUCUCUCAGAGAGGAACCACAGAAAUUUGAGUUGUGGCCAUAUAUUAUUCCAGAUAUUGUAUGAUGAAUAUGUGGUUUAUUGAUUUGACAAGUAAUACAGUUUUCCCCCAGGAAAAAAGUGAAUUUGUGGCAAAUGGUCUAAUAGAAUGGUACAAGUAAUUGAUGGAGUUAUGCACAAUCUGUUGGGUGAGAUGAAAGAUCUGAAAAGCCUCUGAAUUAUUAGUUUUCCUGUUGUCACAGUGCAAGAUGUGCCUAUAGUCAAAGUAAGUUUAAAAAAAAAAAUAUAGCAUAAGCUAGAAAAUACUAGGGUGAAAAGAAGAAUAAUUAUUAACUCAAUUCCUUUGUCAAGAUAAUUUAAAAAUCAUGGUUGAGGAAGCUCAUAAAUAAACACAAUUGUCACUGCAAAAAUUUUGCUAAAAAUAAGGAGUUAUAUUUUGAAUUACCUUUUUUGUAUACAUAUAGCUUUAAAAUAUUUAAAAUAUAAUAAAGUGGUCUUUAGCUAUAUAGUUAUACAUUUUAGGUAAUUACCAGUUAACUUGUUAGACUUGUAACUGAUAAAAGAUAUGCACGUGCAGAAAUCUCUACAGAUUCAAAAGGUUCAGAUAAUAAAUAGUUGUUCUUAUUUAUACUUAGAGAUAAGCAUUGUUACUGCUGCCCUACAAACCUCAUAGCUUGCUUAAGGCUACACUGUGUAAAUUGAGAGACAAUUUCCCUCUUGCAGUAAUAGGAAGCUGUUAACACUUUGGAAAACAUGAGAUUGUCCUUAAAUACCUGUUACUUCAGUUUUGCAUGAAUAUGACUUCUGGUCAGUGUAGCUUCUCUCUGCUUGUAGCUAAGCUUGUCAAACUGAUGUCCAUGUUUUAAAGGAGGAACGUUGAAGCUUUUUGUAAAAACGCUUAUAUAGCUGGAAAUAAAAUGAUUAA
ensembl:lncRNA